CCUAUGUCCUGAGUGUAAUGUACUUAGAUGGUGUCAAGUUAGGUGAUGUUCAGGCUACAAUCAGUGGGGUCUUCACAGCAGCCUUCUUUCUAUUUAUCUCACAUGCUCGGCCCCUUCCUACCCUCUCAGCCGAACGACCUCAUCCCAAUAUUUUCUGUGCCUACGUCUUCCUCUCCCUCCUGGGACAAUUUGCUAUCCAUCUGCUUUUCUUAAUUUCUUCUGUUAACGAGGCUAGCAAGUACAUGCCUGAUGAGUGCAUUGAGCCAGACUCUACCCCUUCCAACCCUCUCAGCCGAACGACCUCAUCCCAAUAUUUUCUGUGCCUACGUCUUCCUCUCCCUCCUGGGACAAUUUGCUAUCCAUCUGCUUUUCUUAAUUUCUUCUGUUAACGAGGCUAGCAAGUACAUGCCUGAUGAGUGCAUUGAGCCAGACUCUAAUUUUCAUCCAAACCUUGUCAAUACUGUUUCAUACAUGGUGGGGUUGAUGCUUCAGGUAGCAACCUUUGCUGUGAACUACAUGGGCCACCCCUUCAACCAAAGCAUACCCGAAAACAAGCCAUUCUUAUACGCCCUUUUGGCUGCCGUGGGCUUCUUCACAGUUAUCACCUCUGAUUUGUUUAGAGACUUAAACGACUGGUUGAAGUUAGUUCCUAUAAUUUUCAUCCAAACCUUGUCAAUACAGUUUCAUACAUGGUGGGGUUGAUGCUUCAGGUAGCAACCUUUGCUGUGAACUACAUGGGCCACCCCUUCAACCAAAGCAUACCCGAAAACAAGCCAUUCUUAUACGCCCUUUUGGCUGCCGUGGGCUUCUUCACAGUUAUCACCUCUGAUUUGUUUAGAGACUUAAACGACUGGUUGAAGUUAGUUCCUAUGCCAAGAAGUUUGAGAGAUAAGCUGCUGCUUUGGGCAUUCCUGACAUUUUUGGUCUGCUAUGCCUGGGAGAAGUCAUUGAGGUGGGCUUUCCCUG
rnacentral:lncRNA from 1 species